AAAUUGAAGAGUUUGAUCAUGGCUCAGAUUGAACGCUGGCGGCAGGCCUAACACAUGCAAGUCGAACGGUAGCACAGAGAGCUUGCUCUCGGGUGACGAGUGGCGGACGGGUGAGUAAUGUCUGGGAAACUGCCUGAUGGAGGGGGAUAACUACUGGAAACGGUAGCUAAUACCGCAUAACGUCGCAAGACCAAAGAGGGGGACCUUCGGGCCUCUUGCCAUCAGAUGUGCCCAGAUGGGAUUAGCUAGUAGGUGGGGUAACGGCUCACCUAGGCGACGAUCCCUAGCUGGUCUGAGAGGAUGACCAGCCACACUGGAACUGAGACACGGUCCAGACUCCUACGGGAGGCAGCAGUGGGGAAUAUUGCACAAUGGGCGCAAGCCUGAUGCAGCCAUGCCGCGUGUAUGAAGAAGGCCUUCGGGUUGUAAAGUACUUUCAGCGGGGAGGAAGGUGUUGCGGUUAAUAACCGCAGCAAUUGACGUUACCCGCAGAAGAAGCACCGGCUAACUCCGUGCCAGCAGCCGCGGUAAUACGGAGGGUGCAAGCGUUAAUCGGAAUUACUGGGCGUAAAGCGCACGCAGGCGGUCUGUCAAGUCGGAUGUGAAAUCCCCGGGCUCAACCUGGGAACUGCAUUCGAAACUGGCAGGCUAGAGUCUUGUAGAGGGGGGUAGAAUUCCAGGUGUAGCGGUGAAAUGCGUAGAGAUCUGGAGGAAUACCGGUGGCGAAGGCGGCCCCCUGGACAAAGACUGACGCUCAGGUGCGAAAGCGUGGGGAGCAAACAGGAUUAGAUACCCUGGUAGUCCACGCCGUAAACGAUGUCGACUUGGAGGUUGUGCCCUUGAGGCGUGGCUUCCGGAGCUAACGCGUUAAGUCGACCGCCUGGGGAGUACGGCCGCAAGGUUAAAACUCAAAUGAAUUGACGGGGGCCCGCACAAGCGGUGGAGCAUGUGGUUUAAUUCGAUGCAACGCGAAGAACCUUACCUACUCUUGACAUCCAGAGAACUUUCCAGAGAUGGAUUGGUGCCUUCGGGAACUCUGAGACAGGUGCUGCAUGGCUGUCGUCAGCUCGUGUUGUGAAAUGUUGGGUUAAGUCCCGCAACGAGCGCAACCCUUAUCCUUUGUUGCCAGCGGUCCGGCCGGGAACUCAAAGGAGACUGCCAGUGAUAAACUGGAGGAAGGUGGGGAUGACGUCAAGUCAUCAUGGCCCUUACGAGUAGGGCUACACACGUGCUACAAUGGCGCAUACAAAGAGAAGCGAACUCGCGAGAGCAAGCGGACCUCAUAAAGUGCGUCGUAGUCCGGAUUGGAGUCUGCAACUCGACUCCAUGAAGUCGGAAUCGCUAGUAAUCGUAGAUCAGAAUGCUACGGUGAAUACGUUCCCGGGCCUUGUACACACCGCCCGUCACACCAUGGGAGUGGGUUGCAAAAGAAGUAGGUAGCUUAACCUUCGGGAGGGCGCUUACCACUUUGUGAUUCAUGACUGGGGUGAAGUCGUAACAAGGUAACCGUAGGGGAACCUGCGGUUGGAUCACCUCCUUA
rnacentral:rRNA from 2 species